rnacentral:rRNA from 1 species
GACGAACGCUGGCGGCGUGCUUAACACAUGCAAGUCGAACGGAAAGGCCCUGCUUUUGUGGGGUGCUCGAGUGGCGAACGGGUGAGUAACACGUGAGUAACCUGCCCUUGACUUUGGGAUAACUUCAGGAAACUGGGGCUAAUACCGGAUAGGAGCUCCUGCUGCAUGGUGGGGGUUGGAAAGUUUCGGCGGUUGGGGAUGGACUCGCGGCUUAUCAGCUUGUUGGUGGGGUAGUGGCUUACCAAGGCUUUGAAGGGUAGCCGGCCUGAUAGGGUGACCUGCCCCAUUGGGACUGGGAUACGGCCCAGACUCCUACGGUAGGCAGCAGUGGGGAAUAGUGCACAAUGGGCUGAAGCCUGAUGCAGCAACGCCGCGUGCGGGAUGACGGCCUUCGGGUUGUAUACCGCUUUCGCCUGUGACGAAGCGUGAGUGACGGUAAUGGGUAAAGAAGCACCGGCUAACUACGUG